UCGAGAAUCUUCGGCAAUGGGCGCAAGCCUGACCGAGCGACGCCGCGUGCGGGAUGAAGGCCCUUGGGUUGUAAACCGCUGUCAGAGGGGAUGAAAUGUAUGUGGGCACUCCCAUGUAUUUGACAUAGCCUCAGAGGAAGCACGGGCUAAGUUCGUGCCAGCAGCCGCGGUAAUACGAACUGUGCAAACGUUAUUCGGAAUCACUGGGCUUAAAGGGUGCGUAGGCGGCUCAUUAAGUAGGGUGUGAAAGCCCCCGGCUCAACCGGGGAAUUGCGCUCUAAACUGAUGGGCUGGAGUGAGAUAGGGGUGUGUGGAACUUCCGGUGGAGCGGUGAAAUGUGUUGAUAUCGGAAGGAACGCCGGUGGCGAAAGCGACACACUGGGUCUCAACUGACGCUGAGGCACGAAAGCCAGGGGAGCAAACGGG
rnacentral:rRNA from 1 species